UGACGGCCAUAUCACAUUGAAACACCAGCUCUCUUACGAUUAACGAAGUUAAGCAACCUUAAGCCUAGUCAUUACUUAGAUGGGUGCCCACUUGGGAAUACCAGGUGCUGUAA